rnacentral:rRNA from 1 species
UACAGAGGUCUCAAGCGUUGUUCGGAUUCAUUGGGCGUAAAGGGUGCGUAGGUGGCGAGGCAAGUCUGGUGUGAAAUCCCGGGGCUCAACCCCGGAACUGCACUGGAUACUGCCUUGCUUGAGCACUGGAGAGGGAACUGGAAUUUACGGUGUAGCAGUGAAAUGCGUAGAUAUCGUAAGGAAGACCAGUGGCGAAGGCGGUCUGCUGGGCAGUUGCUGACACUGAGGCGCGACAGCGUGGGGAGCAAACAGG